AAUAUUUCACAAUGGGCGAAAGCCUGAUGCAGCAACGCCCCGUGAGGGAUGACGGCCUUCGGGUUGUAAACCUCUUUUAGUCGGGAAGAAGCGAACGUGACUGUACCUGCAGCAAAAGCACCGGUUAACUACUUGCCAGCAGCCGUGGUAAUACGUAGGGUGCAAGCGUUGUCCGGAAUUAUUGGGCGUAAAGAGCUCGUAGGCGGCUUGUCGUGUCUGCUGUGAAAUCCCGGAGCGCAACUCCGGGCGUGCAGUGGGUACGGGCAGGCUAGAGUGCGGUAGGGGAGAUUGGAAUUCCUGGUGUAGCGGUGGAAUGCGCAGAUAUCAGGAGGAACACCGAUGGCGAAGGCGACAUACUGGCUCAUUACUGACGCUGAGGCGCGAAAGCGUGGGGAGCAAACA
rnacentral:rRNA from 1 species